rnacentral:rRNA from 1 species
UACGGAGGGUGCGAGCGUUGUCCGGAAUUACUGGGCGUAAAGCGUGCGCAGGCGGCUUUGCAAGACAGAUGUGAAAUCCCCGGGCUUAACCUGGGAACUGCAUUUGUGACUGCAUGGCUGGAGUGCGGCAGAGGGGGAUGGAAUUCCGCGUGUAGCAGUGAAAUGCGUAGAUAUGCGGAGGAACACCGAUGGCGAAGGCAGUCCCCUGGGCCUGCACUGACGCUCAUGCACGAAAGCGUGGGGAGCAAACAGG